rnacentral:rRNA from 1 species
UUUUGACCUCAAGUCAGGUAGGACUACCCGCUGAACUUAA